GCUGGCGUGGCUUAAACCUAAAGCGUGGCACUGAAGAUGCUAAGAUGGAUCCCGGGAUUUCCCGCCAGCA
rnacentral:tRNA from 1 species